CAGUCGAGUUCGUUGCUGCCCUCUUAGAUUCCGCAGCAGGGAGGCCAGGAUUGAGCAGACAUGUUCUGGGGUUGGGAAAGUGAAAAAGGACACACUGAGUUCAGAGGCAUGGCAACACGAGAAAUGUGAGGAGUGACAGUCUGUAGCAGUGGAGAGAAAUUAUUGUCAUCCCUAUGAGAUACAAAGCAAAACAAGUCUAAAUCUUUUACUCAUGGUGGCCUUGUAAAUAUCGAAAGAUGGCUAUUUAAUUCUGCUUUUGUGUAACCAAGAUUAAAAACCUAAAGGAACCCUGAGAAUGCCAAUAUUGCACUCUUUCCCCCAACAGGGCUUUUCUAAAGCUUAUAACUUCCAACUGGGGAAAAGAUAAAGGCAAUAACUACAAACUGUAUCUCACAAUAAAUUCUACCAGAUGCCCUCUAGCUGAUAUUUGUGUCAUUUCGUGCCUUUGAUAUUGGCCCCAAAUUAAAACUACAAAGACAUUGAAAUCUUUUUAAUAUUAAGAAUUCUUAUGUUUCCUACUAAAGAGUAAAAAUGGGGAAACAAAAAUAAAUUUAAGCCUACCUUUCCCUAACCCCUAGUAUUUAACAAGUCUUUUCCAUUGUACAAACAAGCAAAUAAUCUAUCCUAAUUCUGAAAUUUUCAGUUGCCUGUGAAACCUAUAAAUCCCACUGGAAUAAAGAGAUUAGUGCCAAAAUCUUAAAAAUAAUAAUAAUAAAAAUUAAAAGCCCCUAAGCAGGAACUUCCU